CUGACAGGCAAGUUUCAAGACAGUGGCUAAGCCCAGGUCCUGAAGAGAGGAGGACCGUGCAGGCGGCCCCAACAGAGGACGGGGACAGCUCUCUCCUUCUGUAAGUGAGGCAGCCUCAUCCUUCCCUGGAUCCUCAGCAUCUCUUAACCAGCAGUGGCAGAGGUUGAAUUAGAAUGGCACCAGCUUCGGAUAAAAAUCCAGAUCUCGCUUUUCAAAAUGUGUCUAGAGCUGGUGGCUGUAAGGAACCAGUCAAGCCUCAGCUGUGACUCUAAUCCUGCCAAGUCCACCUGAGAGCCGACUCAUUCAUCCAAAGAGAGAACGGUUUGGAUGGAGCUCAAGGUGCCUGGCUCGCUGGCAUAGCCCAGACAACCUCUUAAAGGCCGGGCCACAGAGCUAGAAGGUCUGUCACUACUCAGUUGGGGAAAUCGUCUGAGAAGUUCAAGUCCACUGCCUCGCAACUCAAAUGAGUCAGCCUCACCAACCAAGAAUCGCGUUCAUAAACAGACUCAGAGCCUGCGUGCCGUGGGGUUUCCCCGUCUGCAACUCUCUCACCUGGCCCUCCUGCAGGGCCCGGCG
rnacentral:lncRNA from 1 species